AUAAGUUUUAUUUAUUUUACUAAUGCAAUAUUUUGAAAUACAUAUUUUUUCUUUAUCUCCAUUUCCUGGCAUAUAGUUCCUAAAAACGCUUAGACCCUCUGGAGUGAUGAGAGUCUUUUGUAUGCUAAUGAGAUGACUAGGAACUGGGAGCCCCUAGAUGACCUCAUAAUGGGGGCUGUCUACCAGGGGAACCAACCAUGUGAUUAGAAGGUUGGAACUUUCAAUCCAUUCCCCAACUUUGUGGGAGGGGAGAGGGGCUGAAGUUUGAACAAGUAAACCAAUGAGCAAUGAUUUAAUCCACUGUGUCUACUUAAUGGAGUGUCCAUGAAACCCCAAAAGACUGAGCUCACAGAGCUUAUGAAUGGCAGAACAUGUGGAGGUUUCUGGAAGGUGGUGUUUCUGGAGAGGACACAAAACACUCUGAGCCCUUUCUCCCAUACCUCUCCCUAUACAUCUCUUCCAUCUGGCCCUUCAUCUGUAAUAUCCUUUACAAUAAACCAAUAAAGGGUCUCACUCUGUCAUCCAGGUUGGAGUGCAGUGGCAUCAUCAAAGCUCCCUGCAGCCUCAACCUCCUGAGCUCAAGCAAUUCUCUUUCCUCAGCCUCCCAGAGCAGAAUCCAGUCAUAAGAAAUCAGACAUUUUAUUCAAGACAAUCUACUUAUUGACUGAGAAAGAAUUAGCACCCUAUCAGCAGAUUCUCAGUUUAGAAAAAUAUUCAGUAAGUAUUUUUCAUCUGGGAAGAGACAGCUACAUUUAGUUAUUGGUAUAGAAAUAGAUCAACAUCACCUUUGCCAAAUUGUCCAUCCAGUAGCUUCCAAAUUCCACUGCUGUUAUUCGCUGGAGAUGACUAGAGAAAAAUGAAUGCUAGAUCAGCUCUUCCUGACAGCCUUCUUACCAAAUGGUGUGCGAUCCUUGGGUAUGCUGUGAAAGAAGCAAUUCCCAAGUCUCAGAGGCUAAAAUAAUAAAGGCUUUGGAGGUCCAUUUAGAGGACGCUGAGAUUUCUGACCUUGUCCUUGUUGUCCUCACUCUGCAAUCCAGAGCAGACAGCAAUUAAAUAAAACAUUGCCCAUGACCACAGCAGAAGACAAAGGGAAAGAGUCCUAGAAGAUUUUGUAGCAGCAAUUAAAAACCCACUCAAGAAGUGGCUCUCCCAACUUCUUAACAACAAACACGAAAUGGUUAAAAAUGCAACGUGCCAUGGAAGCUGAAGAGCCAGAAGGAUUUAGUACAAAGCAUGAAUGACUAUCUCUGUAUUUCAUCAUGAAAUCAAGUCUGAGGACAAUUUUCCAAGAAGGCAAAUGUUUAUUAGCAAGCAGACUCAAAAUGUAUCAUGUGGUCAUUUAUUCAUUUUUAUUUACUAGUUUAUUGUAAUCUAGGCAGUCCUAGAAUCAGGACAGGACAUAGUUCUAAAUGAAGAAAGGAGAAGAUGCUGAUUCCAAAGGCAUUAGCCUGCUUGGGUAGAUUAUCUGUGUGGUAUGACCCAAAUCAUUUUUGUAGUAGGACUAGUGACAUAUUUUGAACACCCCUCAUUUUAUGCAUAAAAAGUUAUUUCUGACAAAUGAUAUGCUAACAAAACUUUUGUAGUAGAUUUCAAUAAGGAUUUAUGAAAAAAUGAAUAGCCACCUCUGGAACUGGAUUUCUAUUUAGAGCAGUCCAAAUGCAGAAUAAUUGCUCUUGGCUGCUAAACAAGUCACCUUAAACCUCAGUGGCAUUGGACAAUAAACUUGUAUUUCUCAUGCAUCUAUAGAGUACAGUGCAUCUUAGCCGAGUUUCUCAUGUAAACGUGGGUUGGCUCUCCUGCACAUGUCUUUCCUCUCUCUCCCAGGAAUAACAGGCUGCCAGGAAUGUCCUUUUCUGGCUAUGACAGAAGCAUAGUAACUCAAUUACAGACAUGUGAGUUCUCUUGAAGCCUAGGCUCAGAACUGGAGCACUAUUCCUUCAGCUUCCUUUAUUGGGCAGAAGUAAAUUACAUUGCCAAGUCCAGAUAGAGAAGUUCUCUCUAAUCAUGGGUGGAGGUUAUUAUAAUGUUACAUAGCAAAGCCGUGGAUAUGAGAAGUACAGAGUAAUUAUGAUUAUUACUGCAAUCUAAUACAUGCCUCUAAAGAAUAGAUAAAAGUUAAGUCAUGAACUCAUACAUCACAUUGCU